rnacentral:rRNA from 1 species
CCAACAGGGAUUGCCCCAGUAACGGCGAGUGAAGCGGCAAGAGCUCAAAUUUGAAAUCUGGCCUCCCCCGGGGGCCCGAGUUGUAAUUUGCAGAGGAUGCUUCGGGUGCGGCCGCCGUCUAAGUUCCUUGGAACAGGACGUCAGAGAGGGUGAGAAUCCCGUCUUGGGCGGGCGGUCCGCGCCCGUGUGAAGCUCCUUCGACGAGUCGAGUUGUUUGGGAAUGCAGCUCUAAGCGGGUGGUAAAUUUCAUCUAAAGCUAAAUAUUGGCCGGAGACCGAUAGCGCACAAGUAGAGUGAUCGAAAGGUUAAAAGCACCUUGAAAAGGGAGUUAAACAGCACGUGAAAUUGUUGAAAGGGAAGCGCUUGCGGCCAGACUCGGGGGCGGGGUUCAGCGGGUGCUCGUCGCCCGUGUAUUCCUCGUUUCCCGGGCCAGCAUCAGUUUCGACGGCCGGUCAAAGGCCCCCGGAAUGUGUCGUCUCUCGGGACGUCUUAUAGCCGGGGGUGCAAUGCGGCCCGUCGGGACUGAGGAACGCGCUUCGGCUCGGAUGCUGGCGUAAUGGCCGUAAGCGGCCCGUCUUGAAACACGGACCAAGGAGUCUAACAUCCACGCGAGUGUUCGGGUGUCAAACCCGUGCGCGCAGUGAAAGCGAACGGAGGUGGGAGCCUUAGGGCGCACCAUCGACCGAUCCUGAAGUCUUCGGAUGGAUUUGAGUAGGAGCGUGGCCGUUGGGACCCGAAAGAUGGUGAACUAUGCCUGAAUAGGGUGAAGCCAGAGGAAACUCUGGUGGAGGCUCGCAGCGGUUCUGACGUGCAAAUCGAUCGUCAAAUUUGGGCAUAGGGGCGAAAGACUAAUCGAACCAUCUAGUAGCUGGUUCUGC